rnacentral:snRNA from 1 species
AUCCUUUUGCAGAGGCAAGUUCAUAGUCUGUGAAGUCUUACUGAGACGUGAUUAUUGCUGGUUGAAAACUUCACCCAAUACCCCGCCUUGAUGACUUGUUGGGCAUGGCCAGUUGGGCAUACCAUCCAACAAGG